CCCAUAGGGCACCCAGAAUCACCCAUAGGAUUCCCAUUACGACCCAUAGGUCUGCCAGUAUGACCCAUAGGGCACCCAUUAUCACCCACAGGCCACCCACUGGCACCCAUAGGCACCCAGUAUCACCCAUAGACCCCCAUUAUCACCCACAGGAUUCCCAUUAUCACCCACAGGGCACCCAGUAUCACCCACAGGACUCCCAUUACGACCCAUAGGACACCCAGUAUAACCCACAGGUCACCCAGUAUCACCCAUAGGACACCCUUUAUCACCCACAGGACUCCCAGUAUCACCCAUAGGUCACCCAGUAUCACACACAGGACUCCCAGUAUGACCCAGAAAGCACCCAUUAUCACCCAUAGGGCACCCAGUAUCACCCAUAGGCACCUAGUAUCGCCCAUAGGACUCCCAUUAUCACCCAUUAGGACACCCAGUCUCACCCAUAGGCACCCAGUAUCACCCAUAGGACUCCCCGUAUCACCCAUAGGGCACCCAGUAUCACCCAUACGACUCCCAUUAUCACCCAUUAGGACACCCAGUAUCACCCACAGGACACCCAGUAUCACCCACAGGGCACCCAGUCUCACCCUCAGGGCACC
rnacentral:lncRNA from 1 species